CAUGUUCUGUGUGGAACCCCAGGAAGAGUAGCUGCUGCUUUUGCAACAGCCAAUGGGGAUCCUAAUAAAAUACCAAAUACAGUGCCAUAGGGCCCUGGUCAAAGUAGCGCACUAUAUAGGGUAUAAGGUUUCAUUAGGGAUGUAGUUACAGUGGUUGUUUUCAACACUCUUCUUGAAGAUUAUCUAAAGUGAGAUAUUGAGGUCUUAAAAUGGUGCCUGUUGAGAUGAAGAGGUAGCCAUGUUUAAUAUGGGAUGAUGUGUACCUUAUGAAGAGGUGAGGGGAGGUUUAAACAACAAAGCCCUCUAAGGGCCUGUGUCGGAGUCGGGUUGUAGUGUUGUGAGGGGGUGAUGUCUUGUAGUGUUGCAGAGUGUUAGUUGGAGUUUGUGUGGGGGGGUUCGGACAACCGCGUUUGGCUUUACACCUGCCUCUCAGUCAGGGAAAUUUCUAAAAUGGCGUGCCAGCUGUGAAUGUCCAAGAUGCAACCUUUUAGAAAUGUCAAUCCUUACAUGUCCAGUAGCCAGUAUGGCGAAGACUGCCACAUCGUUAUAGAUUUUCCUAUUUUAUUGUGUUAAACAAUCUGACCGACUGUUUCAACAGUUUUCUGGACAUGCAGAAUGUAGUACAACUCUAGUAGAAGGUAGUACAACUCUAGUAGAAGGUAGUACAACUCUAGUAGAAGGUAGUACAACUCUAGUAGAAGGUAGUACAACUCUAGUCGAAGGUAGUACAACUCUAGUAGAAGGUAGUACAACUCUAGUAGAAUGUAGUACAACUCUAGUAGAAGGUAGUACAACUCUAGACUAGUGGUUGAACUGUCACUGUACAGGUUAAUAACUGUAGAUCUGUAGAACAUGUACAAGAGUCACAAUGCAUCAAUUGUAUCGUCUCUCCGUAACCCAACACUUACCAGUCUGUAGGACACAGUGGUCAGAUCGUCUCUCCAUAACCCAGCACUUACCAGUCUGUUGGACACAGUGGUCAGAUCGUCUCUCCGUAACCCAACACUUACCAGUCUGUAGGACACAGUGGUCAGAUCAUCUCUCCGUAACCCAACACUUACCAGUCUGUUGGACACAGUGGUCAGAUCGUCUCUCCGUAACCCAACACUUACCAGUCUGUAGGACACAGUGGUCAGAUCGUCUCUCCAUAACCCAGCACUUACCAGUCUGUUGGACACAGUGGUCAGAUCGUCUCUCCGUAACCCAACACUUACCAGUCUGUAGGACACAGUGGUCAGAUCAUCUCUCCGUAACCCAACACUUACCAGUCUGUUGGACACAGUGGUCAGAUCGUCUCUCCGUAACCCAACACUUACCAGUCUGUAGGACACAGUGGUCAGAUCGUCUCUCCGUAACCAAACACUUACCAGUCUGUAGGACACAGCGGUCAGAUCGUCUCUCCGUAACCCAACACUUACCAGUCUGUAGGACACAGUGGUCAGAUCAUCUCUCCGUAACCCAACACUUACCAGUCUGUUGGACACAGUGGUCAGAUCGUCUCGCCGUAACCCAACACUUACCAGUCUGUUGGACACAGUGGUCAGAUUAUCUCUCCGUAACCCAACACUUACCAGUCUGUAGGACACAGUGGUCAGAUCAUCUCUCCGUAACCCAACACAUACCAGUCUGUAGGACACAGUGGUCAGAUCGUCUCGGAGUGACUGCGUCCCAAAUGACACCCUGUUCCCCACAUAGGGCUCUGGUCAACAGUAGUGCACUAAGGAGCCCAGUCUAAACUAUGUAGUAAAUAGUGUUCCAUUUGGGAGUCAGUAUCUCUACUGGGUUCUUUCAAAUUGAACUCUAAAGGGUUCUCGUCAACGAAACCAUUGGACUUCCUGUUUGCUGUACAUUUCUCAAGUACCUCCCAAAAUAUAUCCACUACAGCUAAACCCAUGUAGGGGAAAAUGACAUUCAGAAAUCAAAUAAAAAGAUAGUGAAAGUUUAGUGUCUGUUGAUUUUGGUACUGUUAAAUAAUUGUUUUGUUUAAAAGAGAAAAGACUGUUGGACUGUCUCCAGGAGGACAGUCUGUAGACCUCUGUAGACCUCUGGACAGACAGGACUGUCUCCAGGAGGACAGUCUGUAGACGUCUGGACAGACAGGACUGUCUCCAGGAGGACAGUCUGUAGACCUCUGGACAGACAGGACUGUCUCCAGGAGGACAGUCUGUAGACGUCUGGACAGACAGGACUGUCUCCAGGAGGACAGUCUGUAGACCUCUGUAGAUGUCUGGACAGACAGGACUGUCUCCAGGAGGACAGUCUGCAUACCUCUGGACAGACAGGACAGUCUGUAGACCUCUGACCAGACAGGACUGUCUCCAGGAGGACAGUCUGUAGACCUCUGGACAGACAGGACUGUCUCUUCACGUCUAAUGUCUCCAUAGUGUAAGUGCUGUUUUAGCAGCUCGAUGGAGAACGAAUGAAUAGCUGAUAUCAUCUCACCUGAAAGGUAGGCCUUAAAGGAAACAAGUCAGAAAAACGUUUUGUAAUAUGAAAA